ACUAGAGUAGCACUCGCAUAUCAAUAAGCGGAGGAAAAGAAACUAACAAGGAUUCCCCUAGUAACGGCGAGUGAAGCGGGAAGAGCUCAAAUUUGAAAUCUUAAAGGGUUUCCCUUUACGAAUUGUAGUUUAAAGAAGUGUUUUCUGUUGAGGUUUUGGUAAAAGUUCUUUGGAAUAGGACAUCAUAGAGGGUGAGAAUCCCGUAUUUGACCUUUACUUCCAACUUUGUGAUACACUUUCAAAGAGUCGGAUUGUUUGGGAAUGCAGUCCAAAAUGGGUGGUAAAUUUCAUCUAAAGCUAAAUAUUGGCGAGAGACCGAUAGCGAACAAAUACCGUGAGGGAAAGAUGAAAAGAACUUUGAAAAGAGAGUUAAACAGUACGUGAAAUUGUCAAAGGGGAAGCGUUUGACACCAGUGUUGUUUUUCUGAAAAUCAAUUAAAGAACUGUUUAUGCUAAGCUGUUUAGACUUUAUCAGCUAUCUGUUUAGUUUUGAGCUUUUCUUUAAUGCACUUUUCAGUUAACAAGUCAACAUCAAUUUCUUUUGCUGUAAAAAAGCUUGAGGAAGGUGGCUUGAGAUUCGUCUUAAGUGUUUAUAGCCUCUUGCCUAUGCAGUCGGAGAGAUUGAGGUCUGCAGCGUAGAUCCUUCGGGGCUAAAUGCAUUUGUGCUAAGUUAUAGCAUUUUAUAGACAACUUGUUGACUAUGAUUUGUCUUGUAGCUUACUCGCUUAUGUUAUUUUACCUACGCUUAGGAUGUUGAGCGCAUGUCUCUCUCU
rnacentral:rRNA from 1 species